rnacentral:rRNA from 1 species
UGAUCCUGGCUCAGAUUGAACGCUGGCGGCAGGCCUAACACAUGCAAGUCGAACGGUAACAUUUAUAGCUUGCUAUAAGAUGACGAGUGGCGGACGGGUGAGUAAUGCUUAGGAACUUGCCUUUUGGUGGGGGAUAACAGUUGGAAACGACUGCUAAUACCGCAUAAUGUCUUUGGACCAAAGGGGGCUUCGGCUCUCACCAAGAGAGAGGCCUAAGUGAGAUUAGUUAGUUGGUGGGGUAAAGGCUUACCAAGACGACGAUCUCUAGCUGUUCUGAGAGGAAGAUCAACCACACUGGGACUGAGACACGGCCCAGACUCCUACGGGAGGCAGCAGUGGGGAAUAUUGCACAAUGGGGGGAACCCUGAUGCAGCCAUGCCGCGUGUGUGAAGAAGGCCUUCGGGUUGUAAAGCACUUUCAGUUGUGAGGAAAGGUUAGUAGUUAAUACCUGCUAGCUGUGACGUUAGCAACAGAAGAAGCACCGGCUAACUCCGUGCCAGCAGCCGCGGUAAUACGGAGGGUGCGAGCGCUAAUCGGAAUUACUGGGCGUAAAGCGCACGCAGGUGGUUUGUUAAGCUAGAUGUGAAAGCCCAGGGCUCAACCUUGGAAUAGCAUUUAGAACUGGCAGGCUAGAGUCUUGGAGAGGGGAGUGGAAUUCCAGGUGUAGCGGUGAAAUGCGUAGAGAUCUGGAGGAACAUCAGUGGCGAAGGCGACUCCCUGGCCAAAGACUGACACUCAUGUGCGAAAGUGUGGGUAGCGAACAGGAUUAGAUACCCUGGUAGU